rnacentral:rRNA from 2 species
UGGAGAGUUUGAUCCUGGCUCAGAUUGAACGCUGGCGGCAGGCCUAACACAUGCAAGUCGAGCGGAUGAAGAGAGCUUGCUCUCUGAUUCAGCGGCGGACGGGUGAGUAAUGCCUAGGAAUCUGCCUGAUAGUGGGGGACAACGUUUCGAAAGGAACGCUAAUACCGCAUACGUCCUACGGGAGAAAGCAGGGGACCUUCGGGCCUUGCGCUAUCAGAUGAGCCUAGGUCGGAUUAGCUAGUUGGUGAGGUAACGGCUCACCAAGGCGACGAUCCGUAACUGGUCUGAGAGGAUGAUCAGUCACACUGGAACUGAGACACGGUCCAGACUCCUACGGGAGGCAGCAGUGGGGAAUAUUGGACAAUGGGCGAAAGCCUGAUCCAGCCAUGCCGCGUGUGUGAAGAAGGUCUUCGGAUUGUAAAGCACUUUAAGUUGGGAGGAAGGGCAUUAACCUAAUACGUUAGUGUUUUGACGUUACCGACAGAAUAAGCACCGGCUAACUUCGUGCCAGCAGCCGCGGUA